rnacentral:rRNA from 1 species
UACGUAGGGGGCAAGCGUUGUCCGGAUUUAUUGGGCGUAAAGAGCGUGUAGGCGGCCAUGUAGGUCCGUUGUGAAAACUCGAGGCUCAACCUCGAGACGUCGGUGGAAACCGUGUGGCUAGAGUCCGGAAGAGGAGAGUGGAAUUCCCGGUGUAGCGGUGAAAUGCGCAGAUAUCGGGAAGAACACCAGUGGCGAAGGCGGCUCUCUGGGACGGUACUGACGCUGAGACGCGAAAGCGUGGGGAGCGAACAGG